UGGGGAAUAUUGCACAAUGGGGGAAACCCUGAUGCAGCAAUGCCGCGUGGGUGAAGAAGCACUCCGGUGCGUAAAGCCCUGUCAGCAGGGAAGAAAAUGACAGUACCUGACCAAGAAGCCCCGGCUAACUACGUGCCAGCAGCCGCGGUAAUACGUAGGGGGCAAGCGUUAUCCGGAUUUACUGGGUGUAAAGGGAGCGCAGGCGGUAUGGCAAGUCAGAUGUGAAAACCCAGGGCUCAACCCUGGGACUGCAUUUGAAACUGCCAUACUGGAGUGCCGGAGAGGUAAGUGGAAUUCCUAGUG
rnacentral:rRNA from 1 species